rnacentral:tRNA from 1 species
GGCUCAUUAGCUCAGAUGGUUAGAGCGUCGUGCUAAUAACGCGAAGGUCGCGGGUUCGAUCCCCCCAUGAGCCA